rnacentral:tRNA from 1 species
GGUUGGCUAGCUCAGUUGGUUAGAGCGUCGAGCUAAUAACCUACUCGAAGGUCGUGGGUUCGACCCCCCCGCUGACCA